UUUUUAUUAUACACAUCAGUACAUUACCAAACUUAACAGCCACUUGUUGUACAAAUUACAAGUAAAGGUUUCGUCGAUUGUUUUUUUUCUGAUGUAAUAUUUUCACGAAUAUACAUCAACGUUCACUACAACGCUAUUGCUGGAGUACGCCUUUUUUAGCAGUUGAAAAAUUAUGACGGAUUUGGAAAAAGUUUUUAUAGGUUUAUCUGUAUUGUUCGCUAUCGUCACGUGCAGAUCAAGUGAGAAUAAUAAAAGAAAUCAAUGUAUUAAAGCGACUGACAACUGUCCUAACGAACAUAUUAAGCUAUACUUGUAUACAAAUAAAACUAAAGAUGACCCUGUUGAGCUUACCGAAGACUCAAUCAAAGAUAUCGAGUUCGCAAUGACUUUUGAUUUAAAAGUACUUAUCCAUGGAAUCAAAGGAUCGAGAGACGACGAUUUUAAUACGGUAAUUAGAGACGCUUAUUUCUCACAGGCCGAGUAUAACAUAAUCACGAUCGAUUAUUACCCUAUCGCGUCUUCAUUGAAAUGUUACACUGUCGCUCUUCAGAAUCUGCCGAUCAUUGCAAAAUGUAUAACACAAUUUCUGGUCACGAUCCUCGAUAAAUACGAACAAUUCGAGUACGUGCACGCCAUUGGAUUCAGCUUGGGAGGUCAAGCCGCUGGUCUCGUGGGAAAACUGUUGAAGGCGAAAGGAAAGCUCCUGAACAGGGCUACGGGCCUUGAUCCAGCACUACCACAUUUUGAAUUGUUUUGGAACCAAUUGGACGAACAAAGUGCAACCAUGGUCGACAUCAUACAUACAAAUUGCGGUGUUCUCGGACAAAUGAUGCCAAUCGGUACAGUUGAUUUUUACGCCAAUGGUGGAAUAACACAACCGGGAUGUGAUAGGACUAGUGCUAACAAAUAUAAUAUCACGAGAGAGCAUAUAAAUUCUACGCAGAGUCGAUUUACCACGGAAUGGGCAUGUCUGGAUUUUAUGCGACGACUUCAAGCACCUUAAACCAGCUGUCAUUAUUGGGACAGUUUAGUAGUUUUUCGGGAGCUAAAGUAUUGGUUGGAGAAUAUCUUGACCCUGGCACUGAAGGAAUAUACAAUUUCUUAACCAACGAUAGUCCACCUUACGCUAAAGGAAAAAAUAAAUUUACCUCAUAUAUAAUGAGAUGGUUUUCUUAAUUAAAAUAACUGGAUAAUACAUGUAUUAUGGAUAAUAAACAAGUACAUAUUACAACAGAAGUAGGUAAAUUAUAUAUUUUAUUAUUCAAAGUAUGAUGGAUACCAUUACUAUAAAAUAGUAGCCAAAAUCGUGUUGUUAUUACCUAUCAUUUUUUUAUCAUCAUCAAAAGCGUGAAAAGGAUUUAAGUGUGUAAGUACUUUAAUAAAAACAUAAAGACAGUGUACACAUCAAAUAAUCAAUGGUAUCGAACUAUUAUAAUAAAAUAACAAAUAUAAUAUAAUAUAUGUACUUUCAAUA